rnacentral:tRNA from 1 species
GCCCAGGUGGUGAAAUUGGUAUACACGUACGCUUGAGGUGCGUAUGCCGGAAGGUGUGGAGGUUCAAGUCCUCUCCUGGGCAC